UCCUCUCUUGCCUUUUACCUCUGUUUAUUAACAGUAUUCAAUCAACUAUAAAGGCAAUAGUAACCCAACACACUACAGCGUAGUUGAUGGCAUUAACCAAAUAUCAGCUGCUGCCAGCAAAAGAAAAAUCUCAGCUCCACGGAGAGGCGGCAAAAUGUAGUGCUUUCUAUUAACACUUUUGUUAUAAAAAGCACCAAAGAGGGGAAUGGAACAGGAACUAAAAGGGUGACAGAGUGAGACUCUGUCUCAAAAAAGUAAAAUAAAUUUAAAAAAUAGCAAACAAAAUUCAACAAUACCCUAAAAAGAUCAUUCACCAGGAUCAAGUGGUAUUUAUUCCAGGGAUGCCAGAAUGUUUCAAUGUAUGUAAAUAAAUAAAUGUGAUACACCAAAUUUACAGAACGAAGAACAAAAACCAUAUGAUCAUUUCAAUAG
rnacentral:lncRNA from 1 species